AGUGAACGCUGGCGGUAGGCCUAACACAUGCAAGUCGAACGGCAGCACAGUAAGAGCUUGCUCUUACGGGUUGCGAGUGGCGUACGGGUGAGGUAUAUAUCGGAAUCUACUCUUUCGUGUGGCUUAACGUAGGGAAACUUACGCCAAUACCGCAUACCACCUACCGUUGAAAGCAGUGGAUCUUCUGACCUUGCGCGAUUGAAUUAGCCGAUGACGGGCUUGCUAGUUGGGGGGGUAAAUGCCAACCAAGUCGACGAUCCGUAGCUGGUCUGAGAGGAUGGUCAGCCACACUGGAACUGAGACACGGUCCAGACUCCUACGGGAGGCAGCAGAGGGGAAUAGUGGACAAUGGGCGCGAGCCUGAUCCAACCAUACCGCGUGGGUGAAGAAGGCCUUCGGGUUGUAAAGCCCUUUUGUUGGGAAAGAAAAGCAGCCGGUUAAUACCACGCUGUUGUGACGGUACUGAAAGAAUAAGCACCGGCUAACUUCGUG
rnacentral:rRNA from 1 species